rnacentral:rRNA from 1 species
AGAGUUUGAUCAUGGCUCAGAACGAACGCUGGCGGCGUGCUUAACACAUGCAAAGUCGAACGCGAAAAGUUUUCUUCGGGAAGACGAGUAGAGUGGCGCACGGGUGAGUAACGCGUAAGUUAUCUACCUCGGCAUCUGGAAUAACUCACCGAAAGGUGUGCUAAUACCGGAUACGUUGAGAAAUCAAGAAAGGUGGCCUCUGAAUAUGCUACYGUGCUGAGAUGAGCUUGCGUACCAUUAGCUAGUUGGUAGGGUAAUGGCCUACCAAGGCAACGAUGGUUAGCGGGUCUGAGAGGAUGAUCCGCCACACUGGAACUGAAACACGGACCAGACUCCUACGGGAGGCAGCAGUGAGGAAUAUUGCGCAAUGGGGGCAACCCUGACGCAGCGACGCCGCGUGGAUGAUGAAGGCCUUCGGGUCGUAAAAUCCUGUCAGAUGGAAAGAAGUGCAUGGUGGUUAAUACCUGCCAUGUUUGACGGUACCAUCGAAGGAAGCACCGGCUAACUCCGUGCCAGCCGCCGCGGUAAUA